UGCGCAGGCGGAAGAAUAAGUCAGUGGUGAAAUACUGCCGCUCAACGGCAGGGCUGCCAUUGAUACUGUUUUUCUUGAGUAUGGUUGAGGUAGGCGGAAUGUGCGGUGUAGCGGUGAAAUGCAUAGAUAUCGCCCAGAACGCCGAUUGCGAAGGCAGCUUACUAAACCAUUACUGACGCUGAGGCACGAAAGCGUGGGUAGCGAACAGGAUUAGAUACCCUGGUAGUCC
rnacentral:rRNA from 1 species